rnacentral:rRNA from 1 species
GACGGGGGGGGCAAGUGUUCUUCGGAAUGACUGGGCGUAAAGGGCACGUAGGCGGUGAAUCGGGUUGAAAGUGAAAGUCGCCAAAAAGUGGCGGAAUGCUCUCGAAACCAAUUCACUUGAGUGAGACAGGAGGAGAGUGGAAUUUCGUGUGUAGGGGGUGAAAUCCGUAGAUCUACGAAGGAACGCCAAAAGCGAAGGCAGCUCUCUGGGUCCCUACCGACGCUGGGUGCGAAAGCAUGGGGAGCGAACAGG